rnacentral:rRNA from 1 species
CAUUUCUAGCUUGCUAGAAGAUGACGAGUGGCGGACGGGUGAGUAAUACUUAGGAAUAUGCCUUUGUGUGGGGGAUAACUAUUGGAAACGAUAGCUAAUACCGCAUAAUGUCUGUGGACCAAAGGGGGCUUCGGCUCCCGCGCAAAGAGUAGCCUAAGCGAGAUUAGCUUGUUGGUGAGGUAAAGGCUCACCAAGGCGACGAUCUCUAGCUGUUCUGAGAGGAAGAUCAGCCACACUGGAACUGAGACACGGUCCAGACUCCUACGGGAGGCAGCAGUGGGGAAUAUUGCACAAUGGGGGAAACCCUGAUGCAGCCAUGCCGCGUGUGUGAAGAAGGCCUUCGGGUUGUAAAGCACUUUCAGUUGUGAGGAAAGGUUAACGGUUAAUACCCGUUAGCUGUGACGUUAGCAACAGAAGAAGGACCGGCUAACUCCGUGCCAGCAGCCGCGGUAAUACGGAGGGUCCGAGCGUUAAUCGGAAUUACUGGGCGUAAAGCGCACGCAGGCGGUUUGUUAAGCUAGAUGUGAAAGCCCUGGGCUCAACCUGGGAAUUGCAUUUAGAACUGGCAGGCUAGAGUUUUGGAGAGGGGAGUGGAAUUCCAGGUGUA